GCGGGGAUAGCUCAGCUGGGAGAGCGUCAGACUGAAGUCCACUUCAAUUCUCUAAAUCUGAAGGCCGUGCGUUCGAUCCGCACUCACCGCA